CAGGCUUAACACAUGCAAGUCGAGGGGCAGCAUGGUCUUAGCUUGCUAAGGCCGAUGGCGACCGGCGCACGGGUGAGUAACACGUAUCCAACCUGCCGUCUACUCUUGGACAGCCUUCUGAAAGGAAGAUUAAUACAAGAUGGCAUCAUGAGUCCGCAUGUUCACAUGAUUAAAGGUAUUCCGGUAGACGAUGGGGAUGCGUUCCAUUAGAUAGUAGGCGGGGUAACGGCCCACCUAGUCUUCGAUGGAUAGGGGUUCUGAGAGGAAGGUCCCCCACAUUGGAACUGAGACACGGUCCAAACUCCUACGGGAGGCAGCAGUGAGGAAUAUUGGUCAAUGGGCGAGAGCCUGAACCAGCCAAGUAGCGCGAAGGAUGACUGCCCUAUGGGUUGUAAACUUCUUUUAUAAAGGAAUAAAGUCGGGUAUGUAUACCCGUUUGCAUGUACUUUAUGAAUAAGGAUCGGCUAACUCCGUGCCAGCAGCCGCGGUAAUACGGAGGAUCCGAGCGUUAUCCGGAUUUAUUGGGUUUAAAGGGAGCGUAGAUGGAUGUUUAAGUCAGUUGUGAAAGUUUGCGGCUCAACCGUAAAAUUGCAGUUGAUACUGGAUAUCUUGAGUGCAGUUGAGGCAGGCGGAAUUCGUGGUGUAGCGGUGAAAUGCUUAGAUAUCACGAAGAA
rnacentral:rRNA from 1 species